AAAUUGAAGAGUUUGAUCAUGGCUCAGAUUGAACGCUGGCGGCAGGCCUAACACAUGCAAGUCGAACGGUAACAGGAAGCGCUUGCUGCUUCGCUGACGAGUGGCGGACGGGUGAGUAAUGUCUGGGAAACUGCCUGAUGGAGGGGGAUAACUACUGGAAACGGUAGCUAAUACCGCAUAACGUCGCAAGACCAAAGAGGGGGACCUUCGGGCCUCUUGCCAUCG
rnacentral:rRNA from 1 species